rnacentral:tRNA from 1 species
GGGCAACUAGCUCAAUGGCAGAGCGUCUGGUUUACACCCAGAAGGUUAGAGGUUCGAGCCCUCUGUUGCCCA